CACGUAGGGCGCGAGCGUUGUCCGGAAUUAUUGGGCGUAAAGAGCUCGUAGGCGGCCUGUUGCGUCCGCUGUGAAAGCCCGGGGCUUAACCCCGGGUCUGCAGUGGAUACGGGCAGGCUAGAGGUAGGUAGGGGAGAAUGGAAUUCCCGGUGUAGCAGUGAAAUGCGUAGAGAUCGGGAGGAACACCAGUGGCGAAGGCGGCUACCUGGACCAGCACUGACACUGAAGCACGAAAGCGUGGGGAGCAAACAGG
rnacentral:rRNA from 1 species